rnacentral:lncRNA from 1 species
UUCGGUGCCCGGAGAAAGGUAACAUUCCUCCUUCCUUCUCACUACGUUCCAGAAUCCACAUUCUAUAUUUUGGUUCUGUUUUGUGACCCUUAUCCAGUUUUGAAAUAUUUCGUUGUUGGGAUUUUAGUAUAUGUAAAUAUGGGCCUGAUUAAUUUCUUUUGUUCUUGACUUUGAAAUGGUCUCUGAUUGUUCAUCAUAGUAUUUUAUUACUAUUAUCAUCAUUUAUUUAUUUUUAUUAUUUUUAUUAUUAUUUUUAUUUUUAAAAAAAGGUGAAUAAAUAUUAACUUCAUCUCCCGGUUAGUUACUUUAUUUACAUAUCAAGAAGUAUGAAUCUUAUACAGCUAGCUUGUUGCCUCAUUGAAUGUUUUAUGGUAUGAAGCAUUUUGGAAAUACACUGGUCCUUUUUGUGGGUGAGGAUGUUAAUAUUUUCUAAGUGUUUGUAUUCAUGUGUUUGGCCCAUUUAAAAUAUAUAUAUAAUAAAUUGUGGUCCAUUGAUUAUAGUUAUUUCAAUCCUUGCAAAUCUAUGAUCAUUUAUCUAUUUUACCAAGUUGAAAUGCUUAGUUGUUGGUUGGAACAUGUUGGCUUAUUAUUAAUAGAUUCAUGAUGCUAUUUAGAUUUUAGAUAUAAUAAUGGUGUUAAUUUAGCCAUUGGGCAUUGGAUACAAAUCUUUAUGAUUUAAUUUUGAUUUAUUAAAUAUUGUUGAGAAUUUUAGCAUUUCCUUUAAUCUUCACUAGUCAUUUGUCUGUUCUUUAUUAGAAAAUAAGCAUGCAAUAUUUUUACUUGAAACGUGAUUCUUAUUUCAACUCAUUUUAUUGCAAAUUUUGUUUUAUUUUCUUUGAAUGUUUCCUGUUCUCUCUUAACUCUAAAUGUGCAAGAAUGUGAUUAUGUUUGUCCUUAGCUUAAGCCGUCAUAUUAUUCCCUCUCCACAUGAGUUUAUUUCCUAACAUUUUGUUUAAAUUCCCAUUUCGUUUAAAUUUGGCGGGUUUGAGUUAACAAUAGACAUGAUCAAUAUUUUGGAUAAUUGGUUUGCUUAGUAGUAUAGAUAAAGGCUCAUCCUUUUGUUGUGAAUAAACUAAUCCUUUGUCUUUAUUUUUUGCGCAUGUGAAACUUCAUUCGAGUCCAUUUGAGCUCCACUCCCUUUCCGUGCAUUUCGUGGAUUGGGCCUAAUAGGCCCAAUACUUCUCUCUAUCGAGUCCAAAAUAGUUGACGAACAGGUCACAUGCAGUAUAAGGCUGGAAAUUGAAAUUAUAGGUUCCAAAAAAAGUCGAAAACAGGCUGUAUACAACCGUAUACACUGAUAUACAUGGAAAAAAUACCGACAUACAGGUUCAAAAAAACGAAAUGCAGGUUGCAGGGGUCAAAACAGACUGUAUACACUCGGUAUACAGUCCGAUAUACACAAAAGUGGAUCACAUUAUGGCUUAUAUACAUCGAUAUACGCCUUUGGUAUACACAGGUCUUUGGGGGCGAAAAUGGGCCUAAAGUCCAUUAAAUUUGGCCCAAAUUUGGGCAUCCUCUUGUUAUUGCCAUUAUUUAUUUAUUUGUAUUAAUUCUCUAACCCAUUUUAUGUGAUUUGGUUAUUUAACUUAAUUAAACCCCUAAAGAUGAACCACUUUUGAUUAUGAUAACUUAUUUCGUCUUAUUUAAUUAGUUUUCUUUACUUGACCAUUUUGAAAAAGUUUACUUUUCUUUUCUAAAUGAUUUCAAAACAUUUAAGUUAAAUGAUUUAUUUUUGUUACAUCCUUUCUUCUCGAAUUAAUCUUCAAAGUUAGUUGCAAAGUCUUUUUGUUUUUUUU